GACGUAGGGGGCAAGCGUUGUCCGGAAUGACUGGGCGUAAAGGGCGUGUAGGCGGCACGGUACGUGGGGCCAACAAGGCGGCGGCUCAACCGCCGCAGCGGUGCCAAACGGCUGCGCUGGAGGGCAGGAGAGGUGCGCGGAAUUCCCGGUGGAGCGGUGAAAUGCGUAGAGAUCGGGAAGAACACCCGUGGCGAAGGCGGCGCACUGGCCUGGCCCUGACGCUGAGGCGCGACAGCGUGGGGAGCGAACGGG
rnacentral:rRNA from 1 species